GGUCAGCGUGUCCAUGAAUAUCCCCGGACCGCAAGGGGGAUCUCUUUGGGAAUCAGACGGGAUGAAGGCGAAAGAAGCAGACGCGUGUGCAGAGAAUAGCUGCACAAAGCCUCGGAAAGUUUCCUACUUGGGCGACGAAGGCGGAUGAGCCUCGCCUCCUGGCUGGGGCGGACCCAAAAGUACCCGAAGUCUCGCCGGCGAGUUGCGCCCUCGGCUGUCCCAGCAGUCACCCUCAAACGCACAUCCCUUCCCUGGCCGAGGGGAACCGAGGCCGCCUAAGAACCGGCCCCGCCGGGCCCUCUGCUGGGGGCCCGGGGAGCCCUGGGAAUCCGCUGCCGGCGCCGCGCCCGGGCGCCCGGCCCCUGCCCAGCCCGCGGGCCGCGCCCGCCUACCCGCUCGCUGGAGCUUUGCGCCCUCAGCCUCGGGGACCUGCCCACCCUACAGCUUCGCUGGAGAAGGAAAAUGAGAGCUACGUUCCCAGAGGAACAGAGUUCGCGUCCUCGCAGGGCACCGAGGGGGACUUCAUCCGGCCCAGGGGCUCUGCAGAUACUCCCCGGGGGGUUGGGGGGGCUCGGGCCAACAGUGACUUUGGAGUAGACCUGAUUUUGUGGCACCUCCAACUCCGGAGUCCACGUCCCCUUGUCACUCAAGAAGUUCAGCUGAGCUUUGCGUGGUGACUGUCCCUCAUCCUGAUCCCCACCCAAUAGCCAAGCCAAGGCCAGAGGUGUGCGGACUUUUUCUUUAAAGACCCACAUCUUAUACAUGUGAGAUUUUUGUCAGGCGGUACAGAUUACUUAAAGCGUACCAUUUCUCCGCGAUCCAAUUUUAUUAGGAUUUGCUCUCAUUUGUGCUUGGCUUCUCUGGGGAAAUAAUGCUUUGAUUAAUGUAAUCCUGGCCCGGGAUCCGCCACAUGCCCCUCGCCCCUCUCCCAAGAGAAAGGGCCUAUUUGACAAACAAUAACAGAGCAGCAACUCUUGCAAUCUGUCCACACCUUUGGGGGUGGCUGGGGAGAGGGUGACACACGUUCACACGCCGUUUGCUAAAUGUAAUGGUGCGAGGAGAGAGCCGGCUCUGCAAGGGGCGAACUUUCCAGACGCAGAGCCCUGGGCUCCGAGGCGCGGGGGCACAUGGGGAGGGGCUCCAGGUGGGGUGCGCGCGUGGGUGCACGUGCGCGCCUGCCCUCUGCUUGCUCGAGUGUCUGCUUCUUUGUCCCCCGCCACAGGCCUCCACGACUGGGAUCUGUGCGCUCUCCGUGGGCAGCCCCCGGACCCAGGGCGCGUCCACAGCGCCCACCCGCGGCCCCAAAGCACCUUGAGAGCAGAUCUCAGGGCAUAACCAGGCACAGACCUGAGACGCCCUGCUGCUGCCAGAACCUUGGCCCGAAACCUAGAACCUGGGACCAGAUUCAACGGUUCUCCUCAUGCAUACAUGCGUCCAUCCGUCCAUCGAUGCGGACAUGCAUACAAUACAAAUCCUCAGACGCAGGCACCGAGAGCGGCACCUCGCCCCCUUUCCCGCUCGCCCUCCUUCUGCGCAGCCCUGGCCCCCUUCCUGAAGGGAGAACAGCUCAAUUGCGAAAAGGAGCCAAGGAAGGAAAUCCCAGGCUCGGAGGCGCCCGCCCGCCGAUGCUCUUCUGGUCCCCGUCCCUGUCGCCCAGUCCCCACCCCCACCGUCCCCAGCUCAGGGAGGGCGGGGACGCGGCGGUGCGAGGGGUCCUGCCCUGCUCCACCAGAACAAAGCCCACCGCGGGAGCCCGCGGCCGCGCACCGAGCCGGUGACAAAGGCGGGCGGGCGGCGCCGAGCUCCGAGUCUGCGCUUCCACAGCAGGCGGGGAAGGAGACCUGGAAAACAGGGUGCGAUUUGCACCCGGCUUUUCCUGGGCUGCCGUAUCUCGCUCCUGGGUACCCAAUGACCUGUUAGGGUGACUCAGCGUUUACCUCUUCGCUGUCCCGCACCCCCAUCUCCCUCUCUCUUGUCCUCUCCUGUCCCCGGUCUCCUCCAUCUCGCCCUGCUUUUUCCUCAACCUCACUCCUUUUACCUUACUCCCUUUUCUCUUUGCCUUUUUAAAAAUCUCUUUUCGUUUUUAUUUUCCGUAGAAAAGCAAUGCUAAUUCGUCUUCUGAAGGCCGCUCUGGGUGUUCAAAUAACAGUCUGAAAGCCCUUAUAGGGGAGUGCUUGGGGAGUAAAGGGACCCUCUUCAUUUUAUUAUGCAAACUGUGCUCCAAAUAAAAUGCAGUCUAAGGAAGCAGAGCUUGGCCCUGGGACCCCAGCAAGUCGCCGCCUAUUCGGGAGAAGUCGCUUCUGAUGGCCACAAAUCACUGGGGGGGUGGGCAGGGGACCCGCCGCUGUGGAAUGGAGACCUCAAGCGCUGGUGUCCCCCAAAGCAAACCUUUCUAGGGAAACUUCCAACCUGACUUUCUAAUCCUGGAAAGGAAUCAAUCUCUUGCUAGACACCCCCCCCCCCCCCCCCCCCCCCCCCCCCCA
rnacentral:lncRNA from 1 species